CAGUAGCCGCGGGAAUACAGAGGAUGCAAGCGUUAUCCGGAAUGAUUGGGCGUAAAGCGUCUGUAGGUGGCUUUUCAAGUCCGCCGUCAAAUCCCAGGGCUCAACCCUGGACAGGCGGUGGAAACUACCAAGCUGGAGUACAGUAGGGGCAGAGGGAAAUUCCGGUGGAGCGGUGAAAUGCGCUGAGAUCGGAAAGAACACCAACGGCGAAAGCACUCUGCUGGGCCGACACUGACACUGAGAGACGAAAGCUAGGGGAGCAAAUGGGAUUAGAUACCCCCGUAGUCCCUGUCUCUUAUAA
rnacentral:rRNA from 1 species